GUGCUUUUAAAUGAGCCGCAGGGGGUGUAAUGGUUUUCAGCUAACCAUCCGUCACCCUCUUUUAGAAGAAAUGGUGUAUCUGGGGACAUUUUGCCCCCUCCCAAAACUGUUGGUGGAAUUUGCUUGUCAAAGUCGUGGCCGUGGGAGGGGAUAUGGAAAUCGUGGAAGGGGUCGCGGUUUUAGAUCUAACGGGCCCAAUUAUGCAGCUGCUGGAGAUGCUUAGCCCCGUUCUCCUUUGGACUCAAUGCAGGGUUUCUGCUCUAUGAAUGAUCUAUUUGGAUGCCCGGUCCAUAUCUAUCUGUAUUAAUCUUUUUCGGUCUUACUAAUUUUACUUUAAGGAA